rnacentral:rRNA from 1 species
AUUGAACGCUGGCGGCAGGCCUAACACAUGCAAGUCGAGCGGAUGAGUGGAGCUUGCUCCAUGAUUCAGCGGCGGACGGGUGAGUAAUGCCUAGGAAUCUGCCUGGUAGUGGGGGACAACGUUUCGAAAGGAACGCUAAUACCGCAUACGUCCUACGGGAGAAAGUGGGGGAUCUUCGGACCUCACGCUAUCAGAUGAGCCUAGGUCGGAUUAGCUAGUUGGUGAGGUAAAGGCUCACCAAGGCGACGAUCCGUAACUGGUCUGAGAGGAUGAUCAGUCACACUGGAACUGAGACACGGUCCAGACUCCUACGGGAGGCAGCAGUGGGGAAUAUUGGACAAUGGGCGAAAGCCUGAUCCAGCCAUGCCGCGUGUGUGAAGAAGGUCUUCGGAUUGUAAAGCACUGUAAGUUGGGAGGAAGGGCAGUAAGUUAAUACCUUGCUGUUUUGACGUUACCAACAGAAUAAGCACCGGCUAACUUCGUG